rnacentral:lncRNA from 1 species
ACCGCUCGGAGAUGCCCAGACUCAGUUUUUAUUUUCGUCCCAAUGCUUUUCUUCCCAUGGACUAGUUUUGUUUCUUUGAUCUUGUGCAACCUAUUUAGGCCGAUGAUAGCCCGCGGAUAGGUGUGGAAACCCAUCUAUAUUGCACCCAGUAGGACACAGAAAAAAAGCCCAGGGCCUAGGGGUCGGGUGGGGCUCGUUCGGGGUGCACAACGGUUGCGCCAAAAACGGUCCAAAAAUGGCCAAGGCUUUACCAUACGAAAAAUCGGCCGAUUUUUAACCAUGUGAGAAACGUCCCGAAAAUUCACAGAUAACUACUAGGAGGCCUCACUCUGAGUAAUAUCAAAGUUUUUUCCCACAAGAACCGCUCGGAGAUGCCCAGACUCAGUUUUUAUUUUCGUCCCAAUACUUUUCUUCCAUGGACUAGUUGUGUUUCUUUGAUCUUGUGCAACCUAUUUAGGCCGAUGAUAGCCCGCGGAUAGGUGUGGAAACCCAUCUAUAUUGCACCCAGUACGACACAGAAAAAAAGCCCAGGGCCUAGGGGUCGGGUGGGGCUCGUUCGGGGUGCACAACGGUUGCGCCAAAAACGGUCCAAAAAUGGCCAAGGCUUUACCAUACGAAAAAUCGGCCGAUUUUUAACCAUGUGAGAAACGUCCCGAAAAUUCACAGAUAACUACUAGGAGGCCUCACUCUGAGUAAUAUUAAAGUUUUCUCCCACAAGAACCGCUCGGAGAUGCCCAGACUCAGUUUUUAUUUUCGUCCCAAUGCUUUUCUUCCCAUGGACUAGUUGUGUUUCUUUGAUCUUGUGCAACCUAUUUAGGCCGAUGAUAGCCCGCGGAUAGGUGUGGAAACCCAUCUAUAUUGCACCCAGUACGACACAGAAAAAAAGCCCAGGGCCUAGGGGUCGGGUGGGGCUCGUUCGGGGUGCACAACGGUUGCGCCAAAAACGGUCCAAAAAUGGCCAAGGCUUUACCAUACGAAAAAUCGGCCGAUUUUUAACCAUGUGAGAAACGUCCCGAAAAUUCACAGAUAACUACUAGGAGGCCUCACUCUGAGUAAUAUCAAAGUUUUUUCCCACAAGAACCGCUCGGAGAUGCCCGGACUCAGUUUUUAUUUUCGUCCCAAUACUUUU